rnacentral:rRNA from 1 species
GACGAACGCUGGCGGCGUGCUUAACACAUGCAAGUCGAGCGGUAAGGCCCUUUCGGGGGUACACGAGCGGCGAACGGGUGAGUAACACGUGGGUGACCUGCCCUCAGCUCUGGGAUAAGCCUGGGAAACCGGGUCUAAUACUGGAUAUGACUCCAUGACGCAUGUUGUGGGGUGGAAAGCCUUGUGCGGCUGAGGGAUGGGCCCGCGGCCUAUCAGCUUUGUUGGUGGGGGUA